rnacentral:rRNA from 1 species
GAGCACGUAGGUGGGUUUGUAAGUCAGAUGUGAAAGCCUUCUGUUCAACGGAAGAAUUGCAUCUGAAACUGCGAAUCUUGAGUAUAGGAGGGGAGAAUGGAACUUCUGGUGGAGCGGUGAAAUGCGUAGAUAUCAGAAGGAACGCCGGCGGCGAAAGCGAUUCUCUGGCCUAUUACUGACACUCAGUGUGCGAAAGCUAGGGGAGCAAACGGGAUUAGAUACCCCGGUAGUCCUAGCCGUAAACGAUGGGCACUAAGUAGAGGGAAUUACCGAUAUUCUCUCUGCCGUAGCUAACGCAUUAAGCGCCCCGCCUGGGGAGUACGGCCGCAAGGCUAAAACUCAAAAGAAUUGACGGGGGCUCGCACAAGCGGUGGAGCAUGUGGCUUAAUUCGAUGCAACGCGAAAAACCUUACCGGGGCUUGACAUGGUAGAAGUAGGAACCCGAAAGGGUGACGAACGGUAUCCAGUCCGUAGCUAUCACAGGUGUUGCAUGGCUGUCGUCAGCUCGUGUCGUGAGACGUUGGGUUAAGUCCCCUAACGAGCGAAACCCUUGUUUUUAGUUGCCAGCGGGUUGUGCCGGGCACUCUAGAAAGACUGCCGUCGUCAAGACGGAGGAAGGUGGGGAUGACGUCAAGUCAUCAUGGCCCUUAUGCCCCGGGCUGCACACGUGCUACAAUGGUCGGUACAAACGGAAGCGAAGCCGAGAGGUGAAGCGAAUCC